rnacentral:rRNA from 1 species
UACGUAGGGUGCAAGCGUUGUCCGGAAUUAUUGGGCGUAAAGAGCUCGUAGGCGGUCUGUCGCGUCUGCUGUGAAAACCUGGGGCUUAACCCCGGGCCUGCAGUGGGUACGGGCAGACUAGAGUGCGGUAGGGGAGACUGGAAUUCCUGGUGUAGCGGUGAAAUGCGCAGAUAUCAGGAGGAACACCGGUGGCGAAGGCGGGUCUCUGGGCCGUAACUGACGCUGAGGAGCGAAAGCCAGGGGAGCAAACAGG